UACAGAGGUCUCGAGCGUUGUUCGGAUUCAUUGGGCGUAAAGGGUGCGUAGGUGGCGAGGUAAGUCGGAUGUGAAAUCCCGGGGCUCAACCCCGGAACUGCAUUCGAUACUGCCCUGCUAGAGUACUGGAGAGGAGAUUGGAAUUUACGGUGUAGCAGUGAAAUGCGUAGAUAUCGUAAGGAAGACCAGUGGCGAAGGCGGAUCUCUGGACAGUUCCUGACGCUGAGGCACGAAGGUCAGGGGAGCAAACGGG
rnacentral:rRNA from 1 species